rnacentral:rRNA from 1 species
UACGGAGGAGGCAAGCGUUAUCCGGAAUUAUUGGGCGUAAAGCGUCCGCAGGUGGUUUAUCAAGUCUGCUGUCAAAGCGCGAGGCUCAACUUCGUAAGGGCAGUGGAAACUGAUGGACUAGAGUUUGGUAGGGGUAGAGGGAAUUCCCAGUGUAGCGGUGAAAUGCGUAGAUAUUGGGAAGAACACCGGUGGCGAAAGCGCUCUACUGGGCCUGAACUGACACUGAGGGACGAAAGCUAGGGGAGCGAAAGGG